rnacentral:rRNA from 1 species
GACGAACGCUGGCGGCGUGCUUAACACAUGCAAGUCGAACGGAAAGGCCCUGCUUUUGUGGGGUGCUCGAGUGGCGAACGGGUGAGUAACACGUGAGUAACCUGCCCUUGACUUUGGGAUAACUUCAGGAAACUGGGGCUAAUACCGGAUAGGAGCUCCUGCUGCAUGGUGGGGGUUGGAAAGUUUCGGCGGUUGGGGAUGGACUCGCGGCUUAUCAGCUUGUUGGUGGGGUAGUGACUUACCAAGGCUUUGACGGGUAGCCGGCCUGAGAGGGUGACCGGCCACAUUGGGACUGAGAUACGGCCCAGACCCCUAUGGGAGGCAGCAGUGGGGAAUAUUGCACAAUGGGCGGAAGCCUGAUGCAGCAGCGCCGCGUGCGGGAUGACGGCCUUCGGGUUGUAAACCGCUUUCGCCUGUGACGAAGCGUGAGUGACGGUAAUGGGUAAAGAAGCACCGGCUAACUACGUG